UACGAAGGGGGCUAGCGUUGCUCGGAAUUACUGGGCGUAAAGGGCGCGUAGGCGGACAGUUAAGUCAGAGGUGAAAGCCCAGGGCUCAACCCUGGAAUUGCCUUUGAUACUGGCUGUCUUGAGUGCGGGAGAGGUGUGUGGAACUCCGAGUGUAGAGGUGAAAUUCGUAGAUAUUCGGAGGAACACCAGUGGCGAAGGCGACACACUGGCCCGUAACUGACGCUGAGGCGCGAAAGCGUGGGGAGCAAACAGG
rnacentral:rRNA from 1 species